GCGGAGGUAUUCUCAGUGGUAAAGAGAGCCUAAAGAAAGCGUACGAAGUGCUUUAGGUAUUACAAGUUGUAAUUGCUUGGGUUCGACUCCCAAACUGCCGCA
rnacentral:tRNA from 1 species